rnacentral:rRNA from 1 species
GAAGAAAGAGGGAGGAGGGAGGAACACAUGAAAGUCGAACGGAAAGGCACUGCUUUUGUGGGGUGCUCGAGUGGAGAACGGGUGAGUAAAACGUGAGUAACCUGUCCUUGAUUUUGGGAUAACUUCAGGAAACUGGGGCUAAUACCGGAUAGGAGCUCCUGCUGCAUGGUGGGGGUUGGAAAGUUUCGGCGGUUGGGGAUGGACUCGCGGCUUAUCAGCUUGUUGGUGGGGUAGUGGCUUACCAAGGCUUUGACGGGUAGCCGGCCUGAGAGGGUGACCGGCCACAUUGGGACUGAGAUACGGCCCAGACUCCUACGGGAGGCAGCAGUGGGGAAUAUUGCACAAUGGGCGGAAGCCUGAUGCAGCAACGCCGCGUGCGGGAUGACGGCCUUCGUUUUGUAAACCGCUUUCGCCUGUGACGAAGCGUGAGUGACGGUAAUGGGUAAAGAAGCACCGGCUCCCUACGUC